rnacentral:rRNA from 1 species
AUUGAACGCUGGCGGCAGGCCUAACACAUGCAAGUCGAACGAGUGGCGGACGGGUGAGUAAUGUCUGGGAAACUGCCUGAUGGCGGGGGAUAAAUACUGGAAACGGUAGCUAAUACCGCAUACCAUCAGAUGUGCCCAGAUGGGUUUAGCGAGUUGGUGGGGAAACGGCUCACCAAGGCGACGAUCCCUAGCUGGUAGGAGAGGAUGACCAGACACACGGGAACUGAGACACGGUCCAGACUCAUACGGGAGGCAGCAGUGGUGAAUAUUGCACAAUGGGCGCAAGCCUGAUGCAGCCAUGCCGCAUGUAUGAAGAAGGCCUUCGGGUUGUAAAGUACUUUCAGCGGGGAGGCGUUACCCGCAGAAGAAGCACAGGCUAACUCCGUGCCAGCAGCCGCGGUAAUAC